CGCGGAGAGGCUGCGCGCCUCCGUGCGGGCGGCUGCGGGGCCGGGGGGCUCCGAGGGAAGCGGGUCGGAGCUCGAGGAUCCCAGCUCCGCCGGGUGGGCAGCGCAGGGCGAGCGGCAAAGCCUCCGCGUCCCGCUGUCACCGUCCGAAGGUGCGACCUGGGCUGAAAGCUGCCCAGCGCGGCGCGGGGGCUCCCGGCUUGUGCGGAACAGAAGCGUGCGUUAUUGUAUGACUUAGUGCUCAUGAGUGUCUCGUCGAGCUGAACGCAUUUACCACGGAACGGACCCACUGAGAACAGUGGUGUCAGCCCCCCCCCCCCCCCCACACCCACACACCUUUAGCCUCUGUGUUUUGUAGCAGUGAGGGAAGAGAAAUCAGAAGGAGAGAGGAGGGUAUGGUGCUGGCAAGAAGUGCAGCACGCUGUGUGCCUCACCCUGCUUUCUGAGGAUGUCUGGUUGUCCGGUGGGGUUCCUGCAUACUGACAAGUGUUCUGCCUGUGGAUGAAAGCCCUGCUUGCUCCAGCUGUUUUCAUUUCCCAUUCCAGCAGAGGAGUGCCUGGAGGCCAAGGCUAUGUUGCAACACCUAUUUGGUAUGUGCAGGACAUACUUUUAGGAGACCAUUCCCAUCUGGAACAGCUUCUUCUUCACACACUAAGUAUCAGUAAGAAGAAAGGGACUGAUCACACUGAACUGGAACAGAGAAAAUGCAUAGUUUACCCAAAGUUGUAACUGGGAAGUCCUCUAUAGAGCUGUAUGGACAGCCUCAUUCUCAAGCCAUGUGGAGAGACAGUAGAACUGAUCAGCUGAUGUUUUUGCAUGUGGAAAGAAAUUAUUGUGUAUGCCUGAAACAAUGUGCACUAAACGUGGUGAUACAAGUGGCAAUUCCACAUGUUCUGAAGGCAGUCUGAGCAUGGGAGACUUAAGGAUUUUUGUGCACGUCUUUGCCAAUGAUCCCUUUAAUUACUAGCUAUAAAUCAUAUGGUAUGAAAACAUUACCAUUCUCAUUUCAAGAAGAAAGAUUUUGUAAUGCUUUCUCACUGUGUAAUAUGUAUGGAUUUAGGGCUCUGUGGAUUAAAUUUGGCAAUUCCAGGCAUGCAAGGUUACUAAUCCAUACUUUGUCUACAAAAAAAUAGAAAGAAGAAGCAAGGCAGCCUUGUGCCCUGGGGAUGGCUGGGGAAUUCCACUCAUGCCUGUCUUCUGUAACUCUUGUCAAGGGUGAAAACACUGACAUCAGUGUUGCAAUAGUUACAGGCAGACCAAAGAGACACACUUGCAGAAAAGCAUAGGUGGUUUCAUUAAGUACUUCGUUUUCACCUCACGGUUAUUUUUUUGACAUUUUUGUUCUUCCAGUUUCCUGAUGUUUUAAAGUAUGUAUUUGUCACAUUUAAUUCUGUUUUCCUGUAAUAGCUUCAUCCACAGAGACUUCUCUUGGAGAACGGCCCAGAGAUUUUUCUGUUUCUUCUUACAUUUCUAUUUUCUCUGCAUAUGCUAUUACAUCAUUUAUAUGGGUUAUAUACACAUAAUUUUAGUUUUUAUGUCAGACUUAUAAUGCCACAAUCAGGCUGUUGAAAUGGCAAAGUCCUGAGGAAUUUAUUUAGGCAGAAUUUGCACGGAAUUGUCUGUGAUUGCCUCAGUAAGUUGAAUGCUGUAAUAUUUCUGGUAGGUAUGCCAAAAUAAUAUAGGUAUAGGAAUAGAGCAUCAGUAAAAAUCAUUUCAGCGGCCAGUAAAGUGAAUCACAUUGUGAAGCUUUAACAAGGUCAAUGACGAACUGGAAGGAAGCAAGGAAUCUUGAUUUUGGCUUCAGUUUUCAACUCUUGACCACACUUCUUUGCCGUAUAAUGAUAUCAUUUACUGUUAAAUUUCAUUGAAUAUUGAACUGAAUAAAUUCUGUAAUGACUGAAUUUAAUACA
ensembl:lncRNA